AGAGUUUGAUCAUGGCUCAGGAUUAACGCUGGCGGCGUGCCUAACACAUGCAAGUCGAACGAGGUAGCAAUACCUAGUGGCAGACGGGUGAGUAACACGUGGUCAACCUACCGCUAAGUGGGGGAUAACUAGCCGAAAGGUUAGCUAAUACCGCAUACGUGUCCGGGGGACAUCCCCUGGCCAUAAAAGGAGCAAUCCGC
rnacentral:rRNA from 1 species